rnacentral:rRNA from 1 species
ACGAGCGGCGGACGGGUGAGCAAUGUUUGGGAAUCUGCCUAUUAGUGGGGGACAACCCGGGGAAACUCGGGCUAAUACCGCAUACGCACCAUGGUGGAAAGCCGGGGACCGCAAGGCCUGGCGCUAAUAGAUGAGCCCAAAUCGGAUUAGCUAGUUGGUGGGGUAACGGCCUACCAAGGCGACGAUCCGUAGCUGGUUUGAGAGAACGACCAGCCACACCGGAACUGAGACACGGUCCGG